GACGAACGCUGGCGGCGUGCCUAAUACAUGCAAGUCGAGCGCAGGAAAUCGACGGAACCCUUCGGGGGGAAGUCGAUGGAAUGAGCGGCGGACGGGUGAGUAACACGUAAAGAACCUACCCUCAGGUCUGGGAUAACCACGAGAAAUCGGGGCUAAUACCGGAUGGGUCAUCGGACCGCAUGGUCCGAGGAAGAAAGGCGCUCCGGCGUCGCCAGGGGAUGGGUUUGCGGUGCAUUAGCUAGUUGGUGGGGUAAUGGCCCACGAAGGCGACGAUGCAUAGCCGACCUGAGAGGGUGAUCGGCCACACUGGGACUGAGACACGGCCCAGACUCCUACGGGAGGCAGCAGUAGGGAAUCUUCCACAAUGGACGAAAGUCUGAUGGAGCAACGCCGCGUGAACGAUGAAGGCCUUCGGGUCGUAAAGUUCUGUUGUAAGGGAAGAACAAGUGCCGCAGGCAAUGGCGGCACCUUGACGGUACCUUGCGAGAAAGCCACGGCUAACUACGUGCCAGCCGCCGCGGUAAAAC
rnacentral:rRNA from 1 species